AUUGAACGCUGGCGGCAUGCCUUACACAUGCAAGUCGAACGGCAGCACGGACUUCGGUCUGGUGGCGAGUGGCGAACGGGUGAGUAAUAUAUCGGAACGUACCAUUGAGUGGGGGAUAACGUAGCGAAAGUUACGCUAAUACCGCAUAUUCUCUCCGGAGGAAAGCAGGGGACCGCAAGGCCUUGCGCUCUUUGAGCGGCCGAUAUCAGAUUAGCUAGUUGGUGGGGUAAAAGCUCACCAAGGCGACGAUCUGUAGCGGGUCUGAGAGGAUGAUCGGCCACACUGGAACUGGGACACGGUCCAGACUCCUACGGGAGGCAGCAGUGGGGAAUUUUGGACAAUGGGGGCAACCCUGAUCCAGCCAUGCCGCGUGAGUGAAGAAGGCCUUCGGGUUGUAAAGCUCUUUCGGCCGGGAAGAAAUCGUAUGGGCUAAUACCCUGUGCGGAUGACGGUACCGGCAUAAGAAGCACCGGCUAACUACGUGCCAGCCGCCGCCGUAAAAC
rnacentral:rRNA from 1 species